GAUGAAGAACGCAGCGAAAUGCGAUAAGUAAUGUGAAUUGCAGAAUUCAGUGAAUCAUCGAAUCUUUGAACGCACAUUGCGCCCGCCAGUAUUCUGGCGGGCAUGCCUGUUCGAGCGUCAUUUCAACCAUCAAGCCCCAGGCUUGUGUUGGGGACCUGCGGCUGCCGCAGGCCCUGAAAACCAGUGGCGGGCUCGCUGUCACACCGGGCGUAGUAGAUUUUAUCUCGCUCAGGGCGUGCUGCGGGUUCCGGCCGUUAAAAAGCCUUUUUUACCCAAGGUUGACCUCGGCUCAGGUAGGAAGACCCGCUGAACUUAAGCAUAUCAAUAAGCGGAGGA
rnacentral:misc_RNA from 1 species